rnacentral:lncRNA from 1 species
GUGCUCAAGGCAGAUGGACAUCCUUCCUGUCUGAAUGGUGACGGGCUUUCUCCAGGCUGGUGAGAAUGUUGUUCCACAGGACCAUCCAGUCAAGGAGGACACGCGAAGGGACCUUCCACCAUUCUCUUCUAAGACAAAGCUUAGCAAUAACAAGGAGUAAGACAGGUGAUACAGAAGAAAUUCACCUCAUCAUUAGUAGUUGUCCUUCUGGCUCUAAAAGGAGCCUUCACUGCCUUGGGAACUGUUUGGCUAUGCUGCACCUUACAAGUACUUAGGACUUUAUCCUUCUAACACUUGGUGUACAGUAUGCAAUUGUUCAGAAGAGUAAAAUUAGGAUGUUGAAAAUAAAUGCACUAUGAAAGAAAAAUUACA